AUUAAAAAUUAAUAAUAAGCCGCCUAGCUACCCAAAAAGAAGAGGUAGGGUCUGUGAGAACAUGAACUUUUCGCCCCUCCCUUGCUGUGCAAUGGUUCCCGGAACAUUCUUGCAUGAAAGGUUUCCUGGAACAGCCACAAUGACCCAUAGCCUCCGGCCACAAUGGUCCAAUGGCCCUGUAAAAUGUCGCAAAGUCCUGGGUGUGUUGCCUAGUGUUGCACGUGGCUAGCAUAUGGCCUAGAUGUAUGGGCAGUUUAUGGUUUUGGAAUUCCCCUCCUCCCUCCCUCUUGAUCCCCCUGGUUUGUGGUUUUUUCCUUUAUAAGCUCUGUGAAAAUUCAGGUCGGGGUCGAACUCCUCUACUCCCUGUGUGGCAUAUGAGUCUCGACCCCAGCAUGCUGGCCUGAGCUCUCGUUUCAUCUCGCUCACAAUAAAUCUUCCUCGUGUGAUUACAGCAGGUCGGUGUCUGUGUCCUACUGGGUGCGCGUCUUUCCCGAGACUUGAGUGGGGGGCUCCCUUCGGGGGUCUUUCAUUUGGGGGCUCGUCCGGGAUCUGCGCGACCACCCAGGGGUCCUAGACCCACUUGGAGGUAAGAUUCUCUGUUUUAUCUCAGCGCUGUGUCUGGGUCUGUGUCUAUGUUCUGUCUGGGAAUCUGGUGCGAUCGCUGUUUCGGUUUUGCGGACGCUCAGUGAGACCGCGCUCCAGGAAGGAGAGCGGGGUGGAUAGGGAUAGACGUGUCCAGGUACCCACCGUCCGUUCGCCCUGGGAGAUGUCCCAGGAGGACAAGGGGGGACCAGGGACGCCUGGUGAACCCCAUCUGAUAGGUCCAGAGGAGACUUUACUCCUUGACGACCGGUUUGUUAGGCAAGGUCUGCGACCUGCCGAUCAGUUUCAGUGCCUCUGGUCGACACGAAGUCGACGUCGGUUUUGUUUUUUUUUUUUUUUUCUCUUUUGUUUGUGCUCGUGUGUGUGAGUGUGUGUGAAUUAAGUCCUGUAGUCUGUGUUUUUCGGUACCGGUUUAAGGUCUUAGUGCACUGUCUGGGCAGAUGAAGGAUUCCUGCCCUGUGCACGAGAGUCUUAGUGCACUGUCUGGGCAGAAGAAGGUUUCCUGCCCUGUGCACGGGUGGAAGAAGGUUCCCCACCCCGAAAUGGCGCCUGUGAGUAGAUGAAGGAUUCCUACUCCGAAUAGUCUUUUUCUUUCUUUUUUUCCUUUUUAGAAAGCGCACCGGGGGACGCCCCAAUCGCGCAGGCUCUGGGACUCGUGAGAGACGUUCCACGAGUCAGCCUUUGUUGGGUCCUGGCUCUGGGACGCGUGAGAAACGUUCCUCGAGCCGAAUUUUGUCGGGAGGACCCGGCAACGGACAGUCAAAAAGAUCUGACUGUGACUUUGGAGGUCGAGUUCGGCUGCCUAUUUAAGUAUAGGCACGGACAAGUGUGCUUAGAUGUGUUAGUGUCUGUUGUCUGUAUUCUGUUUCUGUGUUUGGUAUCCCAGAAGCAGCUAAGGUUAAGCUGCAGUUUGGGCCACGUACUGAAGGUACCAGGCAUCUGUGGAAAUUGGUUAUAGGAUGCUUUGUCUUGGUCUUGUUUGUCUGGAUUGUUUUCUGUGGUAUUGUCCAGUGUUUUUUUUGACUUUUGUUUCGUGUUUGAAUUUGGACUGACGACCGUGUUUAAAAUCUUGGACUGACGACUGUGUUUGAAAUCAUGAAACUGUUUGCUUUGUUCGUUGAAGAGUUUUACUUGGUCCCCUUAAUGCUUAGUAAGAAACUUAAUCUUAUGGACCCCGCUCUAGUGGCGGUGUGUUGGUUGAUAGCCAAAGUUAAUUUUUAAAAUAGUGUUUUAUCUGUGCUUGUGCUCGCAGCACACAGUAGAGGGGAGCGAAAUUAGCUGCGGAGCUGCUGCAGCGAGCAUGGGGACUUCUCAAGUCUCACCCAAUUUUUCUGGCUCUUCAGGAGCUGUUUAAAAGGAAAAGGCUUAAGGUAAAAAGAAACACUAUAGAGAGAUUUCUUAGUGAAUUACUACACCUUGGUUCGCGAUCUCUGGGAAUCUCAUGGUGGACAGCUGAGAUAAGCUGGAAAAGGAUUUAAAUUUUGCUUGGGAGCAAAGAAUCUUAAAGGUGGAGUUUCAGCCGGUAUGACACUUAGUGCGUAGCUGCCUAAAAGAUCAGAAAUGCUGUUAAUAGGCUAUAAAAAAAGGGACAGGCUGUGUUAGAAAUGCUACAGAAGAAUAAUCUAAAAAGGCUGAGAGCUAGGUGGGGCUAUAAGGAAAACAAGAACAGGAAAGGAAUUUCUGACAUUUGCUCACAGAAGGAGAGUGCUCAUUUAGAGAAGUUCUUUAAGGAAGCCUGCCUUAUCUGCUGUCUUUAUUCCAAGGGAGGAGUCAGUCUCCAGCACUAAAUUACUUGGAGGUAGCCAAGGUCAGGAUUAAUGUUUUCUUUUCCAUGGGCCUUUAAACCCAGUGAGACAGUUUGGUAAAGGGCUACUACUGAGGUCCUGAUAGCCCCAGGUGAACUGGUUACAAUUCUUUUAUCAGCCCCCUGGCAUCUAGCACCCAGGUUCUAACCAUCUCUCCAUCCUUUUGUUAUUAGUUGUUACUAGAAGCCUAGUGUCAUUUGGAGGCUGGUUCUCUUGAGAGGCAAAGCCAUGGAGCUGACACUGACAAUGGCCUUUUUGUUCCAAGAAAGGCCUCCUGGUUUAGCUGUGUGACUAAAUGCUGUUUGCCCUCUUCGGUAGACUCUAUUCUCAAGAUUCUCUUGUUUUCUCACCAUCCCAUUUGAUAUGCUUGUUAGUAACUGUUACAGGUCUUCUUUACCACCGAUGAAAGACGGAAUCCUACUGGAGACCAGAAAAAAAUGUUCCAGACACGGAUAGAAGGCCCUCACUUCUGCCUGCUCUCUUCAGACGCCUGAAGGCUAAAAGACCUACAGGUGAUACAGAAAGAAAUCUGCUCACAGCUGACAGCAGCCUAUGCCCCGGAGACCCCUGAGACAUCCCAUCAGUUCCAGGUUGCACUGAGUCCAGACACUCGAGCCUCGCUGGAAAGGACCGUACCUGGUGCUGCUGACCACCCUGACAGCUGUCAAUUCUCAGCCCUCACCAGCCGUGUACUAGCUGUUGGGGCUGAGAGCUGGGACCUAGAGGGAAAUUCAGUCAUGUUUGUCCUGGGUUCUAUCAAGAUAGGUGUGGGAUAGGCUUGAUUUCCAUUACAAAUGAUGUAACAUUGCAUAUGUUAGUACUCUUAACACUUCUUGGGACUGUGCCUCAGGGAUCACAGUCCGUAUAAGCUUAGAAGUUCUAAAAGCUAGUCAUGACCUUGGUGGAUAGGCUUGGAUAGUGUCCAGGUUAGAAUCCUCAUGUUAAAACUACAAUACCAAGCUGUUAUGCUAGAUGAAGCUGAGUUCUCCAUGAAGUUCUAGGAUUAGAACUAUUAACAAAAAAAGAAGAAGUGGGGAAUGAAGGAUUAAAAAUUAAUAAUAAGCCGCCUAGCUACCCAAAAAGAAGAGGUAGGGUCUGUGAGAACAUGAACUUUUCGCCCCUCCCUUGCUGUGCAAUGGUUCCCGGAACAUUCUUGCAUGAAAGGUUUCCUGGAACAGCCACAAUGACCCAUAGCCUCCGGCCACAAUGGUCCAAUGGCCCUGUAAAAUGUCGCAAAGUCCUGGGUGUGUUGCCUAGUGUUGCACGUGGCUAGCAUAUGGCCUAGAUGUAUGGGCAGUUUAUGGUUUUGGAAUUCCCCUCCUCCCUCCCUCUUGAUCCCCCUGGUUUGUGGUUUUUUUCCUUUAUAAGCUCUGUGAAAAUUCAGGUCGGGGUCGAACUCCUCUACUCCCUGUGUGGCGUAUGAGUCUCGACCCCAGCAUGCUGGCCUGAGCUCUCGUUUCAUCUCGCUCACAAUAAAUCUUCCUCGUGUGAUUACA